rnacentral:rRNA from 1 species
UACGGGGGGAGCAAGCGUUGUUCGGAUUUACUGGGCGUAAAGGGCGCGUAGGCGGCGCAACAAGUCACUUGUGAAAUCUCCGGGCUUAACCCGGAGCGGUCAAGUGAUACUGUCGUGCUAGAGUGCGGAAGGGGCUACUGGAAUUCUCGGUGUAGCGGUGAAAUGCGUAGAUAUCGAGAGGAACACCAGUGGCGAAGGCGGCGAUCUGGGAAGAUACUGACGCUGGAGGUGACGGAAAGCGUGGGGAGCAAACAGG